UACAGAGGGUGCGAGCGUUAAUCGGAAUUACUGGGCGUAAAGCGUGCGUAGACGGUAGCGUAAGUCAGAUGUGAAAGCCCCGGGCUCAACCUGGGAAUUGCAUUUGAGACUGCUCUGCUCGGGUGCGGAAGAGGGAAGCGGAAUUUCCGGUGUAGCGGUGAAAUGCGUAGAUAUCGGAAGGAACACCAGUGGCGAAAGCGGCUUCCUGGUCCGACACCGACGUUCAGGCACGAAAGCGUGGGGAGCAAACAGGA
rnacentral:rRNA from 1 species